rnacentral:rRNA from 1 species
GACGAACGCUGGCGGCGUGCUUAACACAUGCAAGUCGAACGGAAAGGCCCUGCUUUUGUGGGGUGCUCGUGUGGCGAACGGGUGAGUAACACGUGAGUAACCUGCCCUUGACUUUGGGAUAACUUCAGGAAACUGGGGCUAAUACCGGAUAGGAGCUCCUGCUGCAUGGUGGGGGUUGGAAAGUUUCGGCGGUUGGGGAUGGACUCGCGGCUUAUCAGCUUGUUGGUGGGGUAGUGGCUUACCAAGGCUUUGACGGGUAGCCGGCCUGAGGGGGUGACCGGCCACAUUGGGACUGAGAUACGGCCCAGACUCCUACGGGAGGCAGCAGUGGGGAAUAUUGCACAAUGGGCGGAAGCCUGAUGCAGCAACGCCGCGUGCGGGAUGACGGCCUUCGGGUUGUAAACCGCUUUCGCCUGUGACGAAGCGUGAGUGACGGUAAUGGGUAAAGAAGCACCGGCUAACUACGUG